CCUGUAGAUCCGACAGGUCACCAGGAUAACAUGAGAUGAGUUAAUAAGCCUUUAAAGGGGUAAGUUCAUGAAAAAACUGACUUUUUCCAUGUUUAAAUGCUAAAAUUCGGUCUCUUGUGCAUCUGCGAACUCAGAAAACGUGAAAAAUGACAAAUCAUUACCCUUUUUAUGUGAGCCUAUCUGCAAGCCUGUGAGAAAACGAGCACUUCAGAAAUCGCUCUCUUUAUGACGUAAGCAGCCGUUCUUAUUAUAAUAUUUCUGACCCUUGUUCUGAACGUGUCCACCCACUGCGUCACCGCCAUUAAUGAUUUCACAUGUGUGAAGUUCCAACACCAUAGGAAAAGAAACAAAGCUUACGAACUGUUCUGUUGUUGACUACACAGACCAGCACAGAACAAUGUUCCCAGACUCACGGGAGACAAGAGAGCAAUGGAUUUAUUUAGUUUUCAAUGGAAAUAAUCCACACUGAACGAGGCAAAGCUGCCAAUAAAGACAUUUACCAGAACACAGUUCCCGGGUCCCACACACUGGGGUAACUCUGCAAUACGGCCCUUAUUGAGAGCUCACCUAUCUCAGCCUGACUGUUGUUCAGCUGUUGUUUGGUUGUAUCAGGCGAGGAGUCUUUAGACGGGACUCGACUGUAAUAAAAGAAAUGAAUGAGUAUCUGUCUAUAAAUAAAACUGUAAACUCAGA